rnacentral:rRNA from 1 species
GACAGAGGGUGCAAACGUUGUUCGGAAUUACUGGGCGUAAAGCGUGUGUAGGCGGCGUGUUAAGUCAGCUGUGAAAUCUCCGAGCUUAACUCGGAACGGUCAGCUGAUACUGAUGUGCUAGAGUGCAGAAGGGGCAAUCGGAAUUCUUGGUGUAGCGGUGAAAUGCGUAGAUAUCAAGAGGAACACCUGAGGUGAAGACGGGUUGCUGGGCUGACACUGACGCUGAGGCGCGAAAGCUAGGGUAGCAAACGGG